rnacentral:rRNA from 1 species
UACGUAGGGUGCGAGCGUUGUCCGGAAUUAUUGGGCGUAAAGAGCUCGUAGGCGGUUUGUCGCGUCGGCCGUGAAAACCUGCAGCUUAACUGUGGGCCUGCGGUCGAUACGGGCAGACUUGAGUUCGGUAGGGGAGACUGGAAUUCCUGGUGUAGCGGUGAAAUGCGCAGAUAUCAGGAGGAACACCGGUGGCGAAGGCGGGUCUCUGGGCCGAUACUGACGCUGAGGAGCGAAAGCGUGGGGAGCGAACAGG